rnacentral:rRNA from 1 species
AUUAGCUAGUUGGUGAGGUAACGGCUCACCAAGGCAACGAUGCGUAGCCGACCUGAGAGGGUGAUCGGCCACACUGGGACUGAGACACGGCCCAGACUCCUACGGGAGGCAGCAGUAGGGAAUCUUCCGCAAUGGACGAAAGUCUGACGGAGCAACGCCGCGUGAGUGAUGAAGGUUUUCGGAUCGUAAAGCUCUGUUGUUAGGGAAGAACAAGUGCAAGAGUAACUGCUUGCACCUUGACGGUACCUAACCAGAAAGCCACGGCUAACUACGUGCCAGCAGCCGCGGUAAUACGUAGGUGGCAAGCGUUGUCCGGAAUUAUUGGGCGUAAAGGGCUCGCAGGCGGUUUCUUAAGUCUGAUGUGAAAGCCCCCGGCUCAACCGGGGAGGGUCAUUGGAAACUGGGAAACUUGAGUGCAGAAGAGGAGAGUGGAAUUCCACGUGUAGCGGUGAAAUGCGUAGAGAUGUGGAGNGNAACACCANGUNGNGCGAAGGCGACUCUCUGGUCUGUAACUGACGCUGAGGAGCGAAAGCGUGGGGAGCGAACAGGAUUAGAUACCCUGGUAGUCCACGCCGUAAACGAUGAGUGCUAAGUGUUAGGGGGUUUCCGCCCCUUAGUGCUGCAGCUAACGCAUUAAGCACUCCGGCCUGGGGAGAACCCAACCGCAAGACUGAAACUCAAAGGAAUUGACGGGGGCCCGCACAAGCGGUGGAACAUGUGGUUUAAUUCUAAGCAACGCGAAGAACCUUACCAGGUCUUGACAUCCUCUGACAACCCUAGAGAUAGGGCUUUCCCUUCGGGGACAGAGUGACAGGUGGUGCAUGGUUGUCGUCAGCUCGUGUCGUGAGAUGCUGGGUUAAGUCCCGCAACGAGCGCAACCCUUGAUCUUAGUUGCCAGCAUUUAUUUGGGCACUCUAAGGUGACUGCCGGUGACAAACCGGAGGAAGGUGGGGAUGACGUCAAAUCAUCAUGCCCCUUAUGACCUGGGCUACACACGUGCUACAAUGGACAGAACAAAGGGCUGCGAGACCGCAAGGUUUAGCCAAUCCCACAAAUCUGUUCUCAGUUCGGAUCGCAGUCUGCAACUCGACU